AGCAGUCGCCGCGGUAAUACGGAGGGUGCAAGCGUUAUCCGGAUUUAUUGGGUUUAAAGGGUCCGUAGGCGGAUCUGUAAGUCAGUGGUGAAAUCUCACAGCUUAACUGUGAAACUGCCAUUGAUACUGCAGGUCUUGAGUAAAUUUGAAGUGGCUGGAAUAAGUAGUGUAGCGGUGAAAUGCAUAGAUAUUACUUAGAACACCAAUUGCGAAGGCAGGUCACUAAGAUUUAACUGACGCUGAUGGACGAAAGCGUGGGGAGCGAACAGGAUUAGAGACCCCUGUAGUCCCUGUCUCUUAUAC
rnacentral:rRNA from 1 species